rnacentral:rRNA from 1 species
GUAGGGUGCGAGCGUUAAUCGGAAUUACUGGGCGUAAAGGGUGCGCAGGCGGUUUCGCAAGUCAGGCGUGAAAUCCCCGGGCUUAACCUGGGAAUGGCGCUUGAAACUACGGGACUGGAGUAUGGCAGAGGGAGGUGGAAUUCCACGUGUAGCGGUGAAAUGCGUAGAGAUGUGGAGGAACACCGAUGGCGAAGGCAGCCUCCUGGGCCAAUACUGACGCUCAUGCACGAAAGCGUGGGGAGCAAACAGGAUUAGAUACCCUGGUAGUCCACGCCCUAAACGAUGAUGACUAGUUGUUGGAGGAGUUAAAUCCUUUAGUAACGCAGCUAACGCGAGAAGUCAUCCGCCUGGGGAGUACGGUCGCAAGAUUA